rnacentral:lncRNA from 1 species
CCCAUGUCUCGCACAAAACUAUACUUCACAUUGGAUUUCAGAAGGUGUUCCAAUAUUGUAUUCAUGUAGUCCAUUGCUACGUAUGUAAUGCUUUGGUGCAAAAUCUAACAUUUCUUCAGUCUCUUUCAUUCCUCCCAUCAUCCCAUUGCACUCCUAGCAAUUAACUUCCUUCCUAUUCUCUACAUUGUGUACUUACUUCAGUAUGAACUAUAAUAGUUUAAAGAGUAACAACAAUGAUAAUAAAGCAUAAUAUAUAAACAAACACUGAAAUUUAUCCUCGACUAAUAAGUAAGCAUUCCAACUUUGAGAGUGUAUAUCUAGACAUUGCAACUUCAGAAGUCAUGGCCCUCUCUACUCAAAUUCUUGACAUUCCCUAGAUAAUCCAAGAAUAAACUUAUUAACCAAAUAAAAAUUAAAGCAGUAUGUUUUUAAAACUAUUUCAUACAAUCAAUAGUAGCUUUACAACAACAUAUUCCUCAAUAUGUACUCGUAUUAAUGAUGUAUUAGUUACAAAUCAAUUACCAGUUAACUUCAUUAAACAUUAUUGAUAGGCUCAUGAGUCUACCAUCGUAACUAUGUAGUAAGUUAGCAGCUACCACCUUUGUUACCCUUAAUUUAAGCUUUAUAUCAACCUUAUAAGCAAGUAAUAAGGUUGGGUUAGCUUCCGAUUCUGAAGCUAUGUUAUGGGUACUUCUCUUAUUUAGUCAAACUCCUAAAAUGAUACAAAUAAAUUAAAAAAAGAACAAAGUAAAUGAGCUGUGUCGUGGUUGAACUUUGUUUACAUAGAACUUUAUAAUUACCAUUUCAAUCUCUUUUAAGUAUUGUCCAUAAUCAAUGGACUAUUAUAUUCCUUAAAAGUUCGAAGGAAAUUCCAUUGAAUAAGUGAUGCACACAGGAAAGACGACCUCUAAACUUGAAGGUGAAUAACAUGCUAGUACAAACAGAAAACAAAAUAACAUCCUUAAAUCAUUCUAUUUUUUGAGAAGUAAAAAUAAUAUAAUCGUUAGUUUUUGAAAGUUAGAUCCUUAAUAGCUUGGUGAAAACACAAAAGUCGGACUUGAUUUAUUAUGGAUGUUUUCCCUCUUGAUUUAGUGUCCUAAUUGAAGUUAUUUCAUUGAGCUGUAUCACAUAAAUUGUGUUUUUGACUAAUUUUUGCAUAUUUUCUAUAUUGAUCUUUUAUUAGCAGUAAAAAUAAAAAUCAAAUAAGUAAUGUAAAACUAAUUUAAGAUUUUACAUCUAGAAAGCCCCAAAUGAGAUUAAGUUGAGUUAUUUUCCUAUGGUAAACUUAAAAGGGAGCCUUAUAAAAUUGCAAUCUUAAGAUCUUGCAAUUUUUUUUUUUGAGAAUCAAUACUGUUAAGAACCUGCUAGUUUUACGACAAAAAGAAUUUUUUCCAAGAAAGUAGCUCAUCUCCCUUUGAUUCAUGAUUCGGCAGAUUAAUUGAAUGAGAUAUUUGCAGAAACGGUUCCCCUUUAUUAAAAUCAACAAAUCUGAAAAUUUCUAUCCUAACAUUUUCUUUUGAAAAUUCUACUCAUUAUAGUUGUAUUUACUCAGAUCCAGCAGCAUGACAUCAAAAUUAGCACAUGCACAUGACUUAUUGGAGAAAAUUUUAGACGCCAAAGAGGCAAAGAAAAAUAAAAUAUCAAACCUGUGACUACCAAGUAAAGAUGAAUGCUGGAGUUGUUAUUGAUCGAUUAAAUCUUGAGCACCAACCUUUUUCUUCUAUUUUGCUCAGAGCCGUGGAAGGCGAAACAUUAGUUUCUCUUCCAUUGUUA